CAAUAGCGUAUAUUUAAGUUGUUGCAGUUAAAAAGCUCGUAGUUGGAUUUCGGGUGGGACGCAGCGGUCUCGCAUUGCGUUUGUACUGCUGCAGCCCUCCUUCUUGCCGGGGGCGGCCUCUCGGACUUCACUGUCUGGGGGUCAGAAUCGGCGAUGUUACUUUGAGUAAAUUAGAGUGUUCAAAGCAAGCUUACGCUCUGAAUAUAAUAGCAUGGGAUAACACGACAGGACUCUGGCCUAUCGUGUUGGUCUAUAGGACCAGAGUAAUGAUUAAGAGGGACAGUCGGGGGCAUUCGUAUUCCGUUGUCAGAGGUGAAAUUCUUGGAUUUACGGAAGACGAACAUCUGCGAAAGCAUUUGUCAAGGAUGUCUCCAUUAA
rnacentral:rRNA from 1 species